UCAGUUUUUCCGGGCACUCGGUAACUCUGGUAGUUCUACGACCAUCACUGGCGCCCCCCGAUGUCGGAUGGUGGUGACGAAACCUGCAGUUUAUCCACCGCCAGAUCCGCUGCGGUCGCUGAAGGAGCUGCGCCGCCUGUCCAUCCGCGCUGCCCUCGGCCACUGCAGGAUUGAGGAGAAGACGGAAGGCUUGCGAGGCGUCUAGCCCGCCACUCUCAGGGAAUACCUUUACUUUCGCCACGACUUCUCCAUUUUCCCUGUGAGGAGAAGACGAAAGGCUUGCGAGGCGUCUUGCCCGCCACUCUCAGGGAAUACCUUUACUUUCCCCACGACUUCUUUAUUUUCCCUGUGAGGAGAAGACGGAAGGCUUGCGAGGCGUCUUUCCCGCCACUCUCAGGGAAUACCUUUACUUUCGCCACGACUUCUCCAUUUUCCCUGUGAGGAGAAGACGGAAGGCUUGCGAGGCGUCUUUCCCGCCACUCUCAGGAAUACCUUUACUUUCCCCACGACUUCUUUAUUUUCCUUGCGCCCGCCAAUUGAAAGGAAAGUUUGACGCAUCCUCAGACUCUAGCAAUUUGUUACGCUUCACCUCAGCAUGAGUUUCCUGCUGGUAAUUAAUAAUUUCUCUAAUUUUUAGGCGCUGUAAUCUUACCAAGGAUCACGAGUCUCUGAAUUAUUCGGUUGAUGUUUUUUCCGGAAUAAUUAUUCCAGUAAUUUGCACGAAAUGUUUUAUUCUUGGAUUUCAGGGUAAAUUUCUUGUAUUUAAUGAGAAACUCUUUAACCGUUUGUCUUGACCAAAGAUGAACCACGUCAGUCCUGCUUCUAUUUAAAACAGGUGACAGGAGCUGCUGUUGACCUGUCACUGUUGCCUUGCUGUCUAGUCGUGGAUCCGAAAUGAAAUCUACAGCACUUGUCUAGAGCUUUGUCGAUAGUUUUUAGAUGUCAUUAUUGAAGUACUAGCCUUCAGUAUUUCAGUUGUUAAACAAUUGAGUUUUUUAAUAUUUACUAAAAAAGUUUAAUUCUGAUUAUCUUCAAUUUAUGUUCGUACGCAUUCUCUCUCUGAUCUAAUCAAGUCCAGGUUCUAAGACCAACAUUUUAACACUACGUUUGCCGGGGUCCACACUGGGUGGACAUAAAGCCACAGGUCUGCCUGAUGGAUAACCUGUUAGGUGCCUUGUUGGUUAGGUUUUUAGCUUCUUGGUACAGGAAGCUAGUCAGUGCUUCCUUGAGAGAGAUCAGUUCUCUAGUAGGAGAUAUUCCUUGUUCACUGAAUUUGGAGAUUUGCCGCGAGUCCGGCCGUAAAUUUGUCCGAGACGUGAAUCAAGUCGCGUACGACAAAAACUAAUAUGAUGAACUAAAUUUUCUAUAUAAUUUUAUUAUUGCUAAAAUUACAAAUAGUGCAAAACUUUUAGUAAUAUAAUAUAAAUUCUCAACGCAUAAAUGACUGUAACAAUGUGUCUACUUAACAAGUAAUAAAUAAGAUAGAAAUAAAUUGAUCCCGUAACUGU